rnacentral:sRNA from 1 species
AUGUGGACCAGAUCCAAAGGACCAAUAGACCUUCAUCACUCGUGGAUGAUAAGUAUGUUUCCAGAAAAUGGCACCCCCACAACAUCAGAUGGAGAAACAAAUCUGAUACUCCAACAACCAGGAACUUCUGGCCUCCAACAACCAGGAACUUCUGGACUCCAAAACUCAGCAACUGCCAGCCUCCAACAACCUGGACCUUCAGGUCACCAAACAGCACCAACAACUAAUGCUACAACAACAACAGUACCUACAACAUCAACAGUUCCAACAGUGAGUACUCAUGCACCUGUCAUUACAUAUCAACCACCACCUCAACCAUCCAACCAACAAAUACCGCCAGGUUUCCAGAUAGAGCACAAAAUAAAUGUUCAAAUAAAACCGUAUGAUGGGAAAGUUUCACCAAGUCAAUGGUGGCAAAAAUUUUUAGCUUUUAUAACACUUCAGCAUAUGACAGACAAACAAGCAAUAUUAUCAUUACCGUUCCAUUUAGAGGACAAACCAAGUGAAUGGUUUUCAACCUUAGCUGAUGAAGCAAAACAAUCAUUGGCAACAAUCAAGACGGCUUUCAUAAGCAGAUUUCAACCUCAAGUCAGUUCAAGUAUUAACUUGACAAAGUUAAAGCAGUCUCCAACCGAAAAUAUCGAAGAUUAUAUUCAUCGGGCAAUUCAGUACAAUAAGUAUAGGAGUGCCUCAGUACCGUUUUUGAUAGAACUUGCUAUUAAUGGAAUGAAAUCCUCUAUUGCCCACAUAAUUAUUCCUCAACAACCACAAACUAUUGAAGAGUUAAGGAAAAUCGCAUCAAUAGCUGAAAUGACAGUAAAUCAAACAAAAACACUAGACGAAACCAACAUCAAUGACAGCGUCGAAAAAUUUGUUGCAUCAGCUGAAGCAAGACUCAUGGACAAUUUGGCAGAAAGAUUCUCAAGUACCAUCUCUGCAAUAAAUUCUUCAAUGGAUGAAAAAAUUACCAGCUACAAUCCAAAUACCUAUAAACCGGUUGAAAACAACCAAUAUGUUCAACCACAAUACCAACCACAACUCCAGAAUAACUAUCAGCCAAUCCAGCAAUUCCAACAAUUCCAACCACGCCAACAAUUCCAACCACGUCAGCAAUUCCAACCACGCCAACAAUUCCAACCACGUCAGCAAUUCCAACCAAGACAGCAAUUCCAGCCACAACAGCAGAAUCGAACAAGAUAUCAGCAAACCACGAACCAGACACAGCAAUGGUCACCACAAAACCAGACAAACCAAAAUACAAAUUGUAUAGGCUGUGGUAAGUUUUGUAUAUCAAGGUCCAAAUGUCCUGCAUUUAAUAAGUUUUGUUUAAAAUGUGGUAAACAAGGUCAUUUUCACUAUGUAUGCAAUCAGGGUAAUCAAAACUUUCAACAGUCUGUCAAUUUCCAAUAGGGGUGCGAGCCUGCUUGUAGGCAACAUAGGUCUAUAGGUGGGCAUAAUGACAAUCACAAUCAUAAGGCAAUUGUAAAUUUGUUGACAACUUUUCAUCCUCAAAAGAGUACUACACAAGUUUCUGUUGGUGACACGAGAACUCAUGCUUUGUUAGACAGUGGAGCAAAUAUUUCAGUUAUGCAUUCUAACUUUCUGAACAAAACUUCAUAUUCAAAAAACAAACUUCUUCCGCCUGAUAUACCAUCUAUAAUUGCAGUGAAUGGUGAUCAUGUCAGAAUAUUAGGCAAAAUAAAAAUCAAGGUCACAAUAGGAGAUAGAGACUAUCAACAAAUGGUCUAUGUGCUUAACAAACUUCACCAUUCAUUGAUAUUAGGGGUAGAUUUUUUGAAAAACUCAAAAGCACAUUUGUGCUUUGACACAAACACAGUCACUUUAACAGACAACCCAAGCAUAUCAACUGUUAUAAAAAUGGACACAAAAUCUGGUUUAGCAAGAGUCAAAAAUGCUGUUAUAAUUUCCUAAAUGUCUGAGAAAAUCAUAUCAGUCAAAAUUUCAAGACAAAAACAUGGCGCAGAGGUUUUACUAGAACCACUUCACAAUUUGGCUAGUCAAAACUUACUUGCUGCAAAAUGUAUAGUCAAGGUAAACAAAAAUAGAGGCUUUAUAAAAUUGCUAAACCCAACAAACAAAGAUGUGCAUUUAAGAGCAAACAGGGAAUUAGCUACAGUUGAAUGUUUACAAGGUGCAGAAAUACACUCUUUUGAUAAACCACAAGAUGAUUUUCACAAUUUUUCUAUUUCAUCUAUGAAAUCUAGCAACACAAAACCUCCUAAUAAUAUUCAAUUUGAUUUAGCAGAUAGUGAUUUAACAGAAGGUCAAAAGACAAAGCUAAAUGCUUUCCUUAAAGAACAUAGAGGUACUUUUGCUGCUGAUAUGAGUGAACUAGGUCUUACUACAUCCUAUACCCAUCACAUCGAAACAAUCCCAAACUCCCAAACAGUGAGACAAAAUUUCUAUAGACAAUCCCCUCACAUGGAGAAAGAAACAAACAAACACAUUGAUGAAAUGUUGCAAAAUGACAUUAUCCAGCACUCCACCUCCAACUGGUCUUCUCCAGUUGUUCUAGUCCGUAAAAAGGCCCUUGGUAAUGAGUCGGACAAAGUGGAAUACAGAUUUUGUAUAGAUUAUAGAAAAUUGAAUCGGAUAUCUUUCGCACAAAAUUUUCCUCUACCCCAUCUAGAUAGUGUAUUCGAUUCCAUUGGAGAAGCUCAAGCAAAAUUUUUCACAUCACUCGACAUGAGAAGUUCUUUUUGGCAAGUCCCACUAGACCCUGAAAGUCAAAUCAAAAGUGCUUUCAUCACUCAAUCUGGUGUCUAUCAAUGGAAAAGAAUGCCAUUUGGUUUAAGAAACAGUAGCAUUACUUUUGCUAGCAUGAUGUCUAAUGUUUUAAGAGGGCUUAACUGGAAAUCUGUUCUUGUCUAUAUUGAUGACAUCCUGAUCUUCAGUCGCUCAUUUGAGGAACAUCUUUCACAUAUUGGCCAGGUUUUCACUCGGUUGAAUGAAGCAAAUCUCAAACUUCACCCUUCAAAAUGUCAUUUUGCUGUAAAACAGUUAAAAUUCUUAGGUCACAUUAUUUCUAGAGAUGGAGUUGAAGUAGACUCAGAGAAAACUAGAGCAGUCAGUGAGUAUCCUAUCCCAAAAACCCAAAAACAAGUUCGUAGCUUUCUUGGCAUGGCAAAUUAUUACAGGAGGUUCAUUAGGAAUUACUCCCAGAUUGUGAGUCCUUUAAAUGCUCUUCUUAGAAAAGAUAAAUCUUUUGAUUGGACUGAGGACUGUGAACAAUCUUUUCAAACGAUCAAAAAUGCCUUGAUCUCAGCACCUGUUCUUUCCUAUGCUAAUAGCUCUAAACCUUUCAUCUUGACAUGUGAUGCUUCAAAUCAAGCCAUAAGCUAUAUUCUAGGUCAAAAAGAUGAUGAGGGCAAGGAAUAUGUCAUUUGUUAUGGAGGUAAAUCAUUAACCUUAGAUGAAAGAAAAUGGACAACUUCUGAAAAAGAAUGUUAUGCUGUGAUUAAAGGUAUUGAAGCUUAUCGUCCAUACUUGGCAGGUACUCAUUUCACCAUAAUUACUGACCAUAGAGCACUUGUAUGGUUACAAACUGCAAAACACACAGGUCGUUUAGAAAGAUGGGCAUUAAAAAUUCAAUAUCUUAAUUUUGACAUAGUCCAUAGACCAGGAAAAAGCAAUGUUGUAGCCGACUGCCUUAGUCGUCGACCUUAUGAUGAUUCAGAAUCUUCUUCUGCUAAUGUUUGUUCUCUUCAAAAUGAUAUUCCAUGUGAUGAAGAUGGUUAUCAACGUGAGGUCACUUUUGUCUAUGCAAAUGAUUCUGAGGACUCUUUUCCUUCUAUUUCUGCUUUAGAGGUUGGUCCUGAUAUAAAUGAUAUCAUAGGUAACAAUACAUCUCUGUCAGAGCUACAAAGGAACUGUGAGGAUUUCAAAGAAAUCUAUGCAUAUCUAUCUGACAAAACUCUUCCAGAUGACACAAAAUCCAUUAGGCAUAUUAUUUCAGAAAGUGCAUUCUAUUCCAUUCAAAAUAAUGUGUUAUACCACUGGUAUCAAAGGCGUUGCAGAAAUGUCCAAGAAGAGUUGCGUCACAUUCUACAAAUUGCUUUACCUAAAUGUUUAAGGCUUGAUGCUCUAAAAUCCUAUCAUGACUCUUUAGCAGGAGGUGGCCAUCUUGGCGUUGAAAAAUGUAGAUCUUCUCUCUUGCAAAAUUAUUGGUGGCCAGCAAUGCAUGCAGAUGUAGUUGAAUAUAUAAAGUCUUGUGACAGAUGUCAAAGAGCAAAAAGAAACUAUGAUCCAAACAAACCUCCUCGGUCUCCAAUGCCACAAGCUGGUAGAUUUGACAGAUGGCAUAUAGAUGUUCUAGGUCCUAUUUAUAAAACUGCUGACAACUAUGAAUUCAUUCUUGUAGUUGUUGAUGCUUUCACUCGCUGGUGUGAGGCAUUCCCUCUACGCACUCAAUCAGCAAAAGAAAUAGGUACUGUUCUUUACAAUGAGGUAAUAACUCGUUACGGAGCACCAAGGUGCCUCACCUCUGAUCGUGGAGCUGCUUUUACUUCAAAACUCAUACGAGCUAUCUGUGAAAUAUUUGAGGUCACAAAACAUUACACAAGUUCUUAUCAUCCAAAUACAAAUGGUACGGUUGAGUGUCAAAACAGUACACUUGCUGCCUCUUUGAGAACAUAUUGCAAUAAUGAUCAGAAAAAUUGGCCAGCCUUGAUUCCUAGUAUAAUGAUGGCAUUUCGUCGUGCCCCAUCAAACAACACAACAAAAUUCUCACCUUUCUACAUGGUCUUUGGUCAAGAGAUGAGGUUGCCCUUUGAUAUUGCAUUAGAACCAAAAGAUUCUUUGCCUCCAGACAGUAGACACUUUAUACAAGAAUUUCUAUCUAACUUGAAAAUGGCUCAUGAAAUUGGUCUGAAAAAUGAAACAGAACAAAAGGCCAAAGAUAAAGAGCGCCAUGACCUCAAAGCCAAGAUACCUGAAUUAUCCAUUGGUGACCAAGUUUUAUUGAAAAUACAAAAAACACCAAAAGGUCUCUCACGCAAGCUUUAUGACAAAUCUGAAGGUCCUUAUCGUAUCAUAGAGCUUGGCCCUAACUACACAUAUAAGCUAAAAAGACUUUCUGAUCAUCGCAUUUAUCCUUCCCUUAUAAAUGCCACAAAUUUGAGACGCUAUUACCCCCCUGGACCUGUCAGAAGAAAAUAUGAUGACCCACCUGAACCUGAAAUUCCACAAAAUAAUGACCCACCAGAACAGAAUGCAGAUAUCAAUGAUGACACACAACAACAAGUAGAUGGAGAUGUUGCCCCAAAUCAGCAGAAUCCAAAACCCCCACCUCAACAGAAUCCAAAACCCCCAACUCAACAGAAUCCAAAACCCCAAACUCUGCCCACUACAGACCCCAGUACAAAAUAUGUAGUCAAAGAUCUAUUGAAAGGUCGAUACAAAAAUGGACACAGACAAACUCGAGUAGAAUGGGCAGAUAAUUCACGUACAUGGGAACCAGAUACCAGUUUUGACCCAGAUAUAAUAGAAGAAAUAGACCGCAUAUUCACCAAGAAAGGAAAACGCAAAAGGUCACUGUUUAACAAAAAGAAUAUAUCCUUCCUCAGGCCUCAACAUAAAAAGUCUGAAUUCUCAGAUAAUUCUUAGGUAUGAUUAGCCCCCCUUCCCCAGAAAGAAAAUCUUAGAUGUAAUAAGCCCCACUUCCCCCAUACACACAGGUAUAGAUGAUCUUGAAUCCCCCAUUGAACACAUAUGUUUUUCGACCCCCAAACCCACACACCCCUUUACUGCGAUAGGCUUAGACUAAUACCGCUAUGGUGAUUUGAUGGUCAAUAGACAUACCGGUUAUAUAGACAUUUUUCUGAUGAGGAACAUUGCGCAUAUCAUUUAAAUUUUUUUCUCCCUCGUUCAUAAGAUAAUUCUUAUCAGAAAUAUAAAAUUCAUUUUUGUAUAACACAAAUUAAAUUUCAAAAGAAAACGGAAUAUUGUGUGUUGUGGUCAUGUUUGUGUAAGUAGCUGGUUCUACUGUUUUUAGUGCUAGAUUGUAUACUGUGUACAGGUAUACUUUCAUCGACAAUCAACACAUAACUUUUUGUUACAAAAAAAAAAAAAAAAACUUUUUAAAGAAAAGAAAGAGAAGAUUAAAAAUUUUUUUUCAUAUUUUGUAGGUUUCUUGUUCGCUCAUCAGAAUAGUCUUCUCUACUCCAUCAUAGUCAUAUUAAGCCUCAUCACAGCACUGUUGUCCCCCAUAAAUGGAAAACUCACCCAAAGAAUCAACUAUGGAAAUAUAGUUAAAGAACAAGUCCAGUCAUUUAUUACCCAAGAAUCAUGGUUACCCACUUUCCAGAUUAUGUCACCCAAGAACAUUGAAGAACAACCCUUAUUUACACAAAAUUUUGAACCAGAGGCAACAUGGCCUGAUUCAAACACCAUUCUGAUUGUUUUUACUACUGGUAUCUCCAGAAUAGUAAUUGUCUUUUGUAUUUUCAUGUUUUGUAAAGUUAAAAAAAUAGCAAUAACACUACUUAUUUUACAACAGACACUACAAAUACAUUCACAAACCAUACCAUCAUUCAUAUAUCGCAAUCCAAAUGUCGAGGAUGAAUCUCCAUCUAUCAUUGAAAAGUUGAUGAAACAAGAGUUUUCGUGGAGCCAUGUAUCUGUUAUCUUGAAUACCAUUAUAUUAGUAUUUUUGAUUUUUAUCACAUACUCUUUGUACAAAUCAAAAAAUCAAAAGUCAACAAAAAUCAUGCUUGAAAUAACUUCAGGUGGAAGUUGUGUAACAGUGCCAAUACUAAGUUUGUCAUUAUGUCCAUCCUAUUACAAUUUUCCUGUACCAAAAGUACAUGAUCUCUCAAUUUCUGCAUUUCCUCAAUCAAAAUUAUUUGUUUCAUGGUCAUCAUUUAUUGUUACAAACAGAGUUACUGGACAGACUGUUAAAAUACCAUCCAUUAUAGAUAUUAAUAUCAUUACCCGUUAUAAAAUUAGUCAGAUUAUAAAUCAACCAUUUAAUGUAUAUGUUUUGAUAACCCAUCAAGGUUUUGCCUCCACACUGAAUCCAUCUUGUUUACCACAGUCUAAUGAUCAUGUUGAUGAUGUACAUGUAAAGGUUGAUGAAACAACCUCAAUGUAUCCGAAGCUUGAUUGACUCAACAAAUUUCAAUAUAACUUCUAGUGUAAAAAUAAACGCUUGCUAUUUUAUUUUUGAAUCUUUGGAACUUUUAAUAUAUAUAUUUUAAACAUUGGUGUUCAAUGAGUGUAAACGCAACCUUGUUACAUUACUUUCAUUUGAAAAUAUAUACAAAUUAUUUUUUAAUUGAGUCAAUUCGGCUGUUCCAUAUUUUUUACAAAAAUCAGGACCUUGAUUACAAAAAUAAUCACUGCAUAUUUGUUUUCUAUAUAUUUUAAUUGGUAUUGUCUAUAUUUGUAUUAUAAUUUUUAUGCUUUACUUUGUAUAAGAAAGAUACUUCUGUUACUAGUUUGUUUUUUCUACUAAAAUUUGUAUAUUGAUAUUUUUCAGAAGUGAUAUUAACAUUUUGAAGCUUUGGGGACCAAAGCAGUUGGGCCAAGGGGGAGUUGACAUGGUGUAUUUUUCGUUCAAAUUUAAUUCUCAGGCACCAACCCCAAAUACUAAUAUACAUUCAUUUAUUAAAAGAAAGAUAGUUCUGAAAGUUCAUAAUUAAAAUAAAUUAUUAUUUAUUUCUUCAUUUACAUAGAAAACUUUUCAAUUUACGGCCCUAGAUAAAGAUUUAUGUAUAUCUUAUAUAAUAGGUUUUAAGUUAACAUUUUGAAGCAUUUAAGACGGAACUAAGUUUUUAUUGUAUUUACUUUGAAUCGGGAUUGUAGAUUCCUUACGGCUUAUUUUUAAUACUUUUCUAGAAUUUUAGCAAAUAGUCUUUGUCAUGAGAUUAACACUUUGACUCAAACCUAUUUAGCUUUGGCAGAUACAAACUUGUAGACAGAGAUUUAAUUAAGCUGCUAUUGUUAUCUGCCUGAAAUGUAGGUAAUUUCAAUUAGCACUUUUGAUCAGGGCACGCUAUUUUAGGGCCGCCCUUAUUUUUAAGAAAUGACAAAUCCCCCC